UACGGAGGAUGCAAGCGUUAUCCGGAAUUAUUGGGCGUAAAGCGUCCGUAGGUGGUUAAUCAAGUCAGCUGUCAAAGGAUGGAGCUUAACUCCAUAAAGGCAGAUGAAACUGAUUAGCUAGAGUGCGAUAGGGGCAAGGGGAAUUCCCAGUGUAGCGGUGAAAUGCGUAGAUAUUGGGAAGAACAUCGGUGGCGAAAGCGCCUUGCUGGGUCUGCACUGACACUGAGGGACGAAAGCUAGGGGAGCGAAAGGGAUUAGAUACCCCUGUAGUCUUAGCUGUAAACGAUGGAUACUAGGCGUUGUCCGUAUCGACCCGGGCAGUGCCGUAGCUAACGCGUUAAGUAUCCCGCCUGGGGAGUACGCUCGCAAGAGUGAA
rnacentral:rRNA from 1 species